rnacentral:lncRNA from 1 species
UCAUGUCUCUCUUAUUACGUUUUUCUCGAUACAAACUGACUAUACAAAUGUAAUGACUUUAGACCAGAGGUGCAGCCAAAGGUCAGUUACAAAACUAAGUAGACGAAGAACAUUUGGUAGCAUGGAGAUGGUAAUCUAAGAUACAGGAAUGAUGAUUACAUAGUGUGUCCUAUCAGAAAACCUGUGGUAGAUGCCACUGAUCUGAUGCAAGCACCAUGUUGUCACCCUUUCAAAACCUCGACCUCCUUUCUAAUUAUGUACCACUUAUGGAACCACAACCACAUCAAAUCAACCACUGAGGACUCGGAAAUGUUUCCUUGUAAAUGUCUCUCGCAGUUCUACCUGUUUGCUGGUCGAAACUGAGAAAUCCACAAGCAAUGCAGCCUCAAAUCAUAGACGAUAAUGCUGAUGCCUUGGUUGUGGUAGCACAAAGGAGCAGUCCUCUCUGGAAGAAAUCCAACCAUUCAGACUUACCAAUUCAAUCAAACUCACACAUAUGCAUGCGGACUUGUAUCCACAACGUUAAACAUCUAGCCAUGCCUUGGGUGAUAUCAGUUGCUUCAGUAAGUUUUUGUUAAUGUGGUAUGAUACAAUUGAAAAGCCUCUCUUACUUGCAAGAUCAUCAAUAAAACUGUUUCGUGCUCCACUAACGUGCCAAUCCCAAAUAUAUUGCUCAAGUGACUGCUAAAUAUUGAUGCACCAUGCAUUGAGAGCCUACAAAAGCAAUGUCCUCUCAUGGUAUCAACAAAAACAGAGACGUACGUGAGCUUAUACAAGAAGACUAUGCUUAAUGUAAUUGGAAAGGACCACAAGAGCUGCAAGAUGGGAAGGUUACUCACUGAAGAAUAAGUAACACAAGCACGAGGAACUGAUGGCUAACUACAUAGGAAAUGCAUUACCUAUUAGCUGUGGGAGAAGCAAGUGUUGACGAAGCAAGACAUCUAUAGCAGAUGAUGCGCAGAACAUACAUGGCACAAUCUCUUAGGCGACAAAUGCAGCAGAAUUAAUUUAAUUGAAUGGAUACGUAGUGACAUUUGAUGCUCUCCGAGAUGGUCCUAGGGCAAGGUGGCUCUGCCGUUUUAAUCAUAUCUGCAUGAAGAUUCCCCGUAGCUGAAGUAGGUCUUGGCUUUUCGAGUGCAGUUCUAGACACAGUCUGCUCCAUCAUACAAGGGCAUGGAGUUGGUUACAGCAACAAAAAGCAAAGUGCUCAGGGGCCAGGGCAAUCUUGGACUUACCUGCUAUUCUGUGGCGGGAGAAGUUUGAGGCAUUAGAAUCAGAUCCCGACAAUGUUUUUUCAACCUGUGACAACAGGUUAUCUAAAGAAAUAGAUAGUUGCUUGUCUAUGUAAGAAGAAUUAUUUGUAACAUUAACUUGCACUAAAACAAAAAGUAUGUCAUAAGCACUGCUUGACAAAUAUACAAACCUCUAGAAGGAAUAAGACUCAUUAUCUUUCGUCCAAUGCCAGUCAACAAGGAUGUGAAGAUGACAC